rnacentral:misc_RNA from 1 species
GAUCAUUACAAGAACGCCCGGGCUUCGGCCUGGUUAUUCAUAACCCUUUGUUGUCCGACUCUGUUGCCUCCGGGGCGACCCUGCCUUCGGGCGGGGGCUCCGGGUGGACACUUCAAACUCUUGCGUAACUUUGCAGUCUGAGUAAACUUAAUUAAUAAAUUAAAACUUUUAACAACGGAUCUCUUGGUUCUGGCAUCGAUGAAGAACGCAGCGAAAUGCGAUAAGUAAUGUGAAUUGCAGAAUUCAGUGAAUCAUCGAAUCUUUGAACGCACAUUGCGCCCCCUGGUAUUCCGGGGGGCAUGCCUGUUCGAGCGUCAUUUCACCACUCAAGCCUCGCUUGGUAUUGGGCAACGCGGUCCGCCGCGUGCCUCAAAUCGUCCGGCUGGGUCUUCUGUCCCCUAAGCGUUGUGGAAACUAUUCGCUAAAGGGUGUUCGGGAGGCUACGCCGUAAAACAACCCCAUUUCUAAGGUUGACCUCGGAUCAGGUAGGGAUACCCGCUGAACUUAAGCAUAUCAAUAAAGCGGAGGA